rnacentral:misc_RNA from 1 species
GUUUAUUCAUGCAAUAACCACAAGCUGUGGUUUAUCCCUGUACUUGUUUUCAUCUUGAAAUACAUUAUUGCGCAUAGAGAGAAGGCAAAAACACGAAAAGAAAAAGAACUGGAAAACUAGGAAAUCUUGAUCUGAUACAGAUUUGUGACACGUUAAUAGGACCUGAUCACUUCUUUGAAACUGCUGACAUCCUCUUGUAGCCGUUUACUAGGGGUACAAAUAUAUGACAAAACAACAGGUUAUAUAGAUCACCAUUCUCUGAAACUGUAAUAUCCUUGUAGCCUGAUUUAGAGAAGAUUUACUUUCGGAUGAAACGUUACUGCCCACUCUCUUCCAUCUUCUUUUUCAUUUUGAAUUGCAAUGUGGCAGGAGCACAAUCCAGUGGUGUCUCACCUUGUGAAUUUUUGCAGUACAAACUUGAUCCAUUCUCCAUCAGUGCAAAUGCUAUUUCUGUUCGAUUGAAUACCGCUGCCAGAUGCAGCAAUGAUGAUCCUUGCUUGUCAAAGUAAUUUGCAUCAACUCCCUGACUUAGGAGCUUCUUUGCUGCACCGACAUCACCAUUUUUUAUUGCUUCUCUUAAACCCUCGCCACUGACUUCAUAAUCCGCUGUCAUUGUCUCCAUAUUGCAGCUGGUAGCUGGACCAACAUUGAAAGUUGUACCUUGCUUGUUGUAUGAUGUCGAAGCUCUACUUGUUGGAAUUUUAUUUUCCUUCUUUGGUUUUGGAUUUAUGUUUACAAUUGGAUUUGGCAUAAUAAUUCCCUGCUGGAAUCAAAAAAAAAUAUAAAGGAAUUGUCAUUUGCUCAAAAAGCAUUUGAAGGCCAGUAAAUAUGUCCUUUCCUGUGAAGCAAUGGAUGUUGUUGGUGUAGCUGACACUUGGCAGAUACACAAAGGCAUCCCACAUUUGCAGUCUGUGAUGCCUACAGCAGGAGUCUGCUUGACAGUGUCUUCAGUUUUGAUAUCUGCCACGACACCAACAUCUAAAGCUGAAAAUGAAUCUUUCAGGGCAUUGACUUCACUUGCAGAAGCCAUCACGCCAUCUCCAACGGGUCCACGAGAGGAGUUAUUAAAACAAUCUCCACAAACUCUCACACUUGAGUGAAGACCAAAUUGUGGCAAGGCCAUCUGAUUUGCUGAAUGUUCAGCACAUAAUGUUCGGCCGCAACAUCUGCAAUGGUGCCGUCGCCGGAAAGUAUUGAAGCUGCAAUUGCAGACAUCACAACGUGAAGCUUCUUGAAAUGGCGGUGGUUCCGACGACAUCUUCCGAUCUCCGAUCUCGCUUACUCGCUCGCCCUCCCGCUCGAUUCACUGCUAUUCCUGAUAUUUUCGGAGUACUACUUUUCUUCUG